AAGAUUUUAAGUUAAAUAAACUAAUAGCCUUCAAAGCUGUAAAUAUAAGAUUACCUUUUAAAUCUUA
rnacentral:tRNA from 1 species